GAGCCACGCUGGCUCUGCCGGCCGUGACACAUUCGACAAGCGGCGCCGUAACGGGAAGCAACGUGCGACUAGGGACUUUCAAGAAUUCUCCUCUGGUGUCUGCCUGUCUCUCUCUCUCUCUCUCCUCUCUCUCUCUUUCUCUCUUACUCUGACCGCCUUGUGACCUCUCACACCCUCUUUUACUCUCCGGGCAAAAAAAAAAAACCCUCUUCACACACCAUGAUUCAACAAACUCCAGCAUCACUAUUCCACAUCGGAUUAUAACAAUUCUGGUUUCAACCCUAACGACACACUUGUGCUCCAAAAUCCUCUCUUCCUUACCAGAGGAUUGGUGUGAUUAUGGAAUCCUCAAAUCGACAAUAAGUGAAGCUUAUUUUUUUUUUCGUGCAACCAAUUCAGUGCGGUAUUCAGUGAAGUUUUUUGACUAAUUAGUGAAGUUGUGAAUUUUUUUCGAACGAUGAUUUUGGACUGAUGAUCAGUGAUUUUGAACUAAUAUUGACUUGAAGAAGAAGAAGAAGAAGAAGAGGGGAAAAAAAUAGGAAGAAAUAAAAAAGAAGAGUGAGAGGAAAAUAAAAAAAAGAAGAAUCUUACGGCCUCACGACGCGUUCCGACGAGUGGAGCGGUCUCCUGCCCAGCUCCACUAUCGUGGGUGCUGGGGGGUCACCAUGGUUGGGCCUUGGUGCCGGAGGUGGAGCUGGUGCCACCACCGGUUCAGGAAGUCCUGUGGAACUCGAAGGACAUUGGGGCAGAAAAUUAUAUGGGGCAAGUGUGGCACCACCACCGCCACCACCACAUCAUCAUCCACGUGCCCCACUUGUUUUUGCCCCACAGGACAUGCGGCAAAUUUUAAAAGAGGAACCCGUACCACGUGCCUGGCCACAACCUGCCCUCGCCGAUAAUGGACCGGUUGGAGUGGGUCGAGCCCAUUUCGAGAAACAGCCUCCGAGCAAUCUAAGGAAGAGUAACUUUUUCCACUUUGUUAUUGCUCUCUACGAUCGAGGGGGACAGCCGAUUGAAAUCGAAAGGACGGCUUUCAUUGGAUUCGUCGAGAAGGACCAGGAAAGUGAGGGUCAAAAAACAAAUAAUGGAAUUCAAUAUCGUCUUCAACUUCUUUAUGCAAAUGGUGUCAGACAAGAACAGGAUAUCUUCGUGAGGCUGAUAGAUUCUGUAACAAAACAGGCUAUUAUGUACGAGGGUCAGGAUAAGAAUCCUGAGAUGUGUCGUGUUUUGCUGACUCACGAAGUCAUGUGCAGUCGUUGCUGUGAUAAAAAGAGCUGUGGAAAUAGAAAUGAAACUCCAAGUGAUCCAGUUAUCAUCGAUCGAUUCUUCCUCAAGUUCUUCCUCAAGUGCAACCAAAACUGUCUUAAGAACGCUGGAAAUCCAAGGGACAUGAGACGUUUUCAGGUUGUAAUAUCGACGCAAGUUGGUGUGGAAGGUCCUUUAUUGGCUGUUUCGGACAAUAUGUUUGUGCAUAAUAACAGCAAACAUGGACGUAGAGCAAAGAGGUUGGACCCAAGUGAUCCUGGCGAAUAUAAUAGUGAGUGCAUCUAUCCACCAAUUCCAGUUGCGACUCCCUGCAUAAAAGCGAUAUCACCUAGCGAGGGGUGGACGCAGGGGGGUUCAACAGUGAUAAUAAUCGGUGACAAUUUCUUCGAUGGGUUACAAGUCGUAUUCGGCACAAUGCUCGUAUGGAGUGAGUUAAUAACGGCCCAUGCAAUAAGAGUGCAAACACCACCACGACAAAUACCCGGAGUUGUUGAAGUGACAUUAUCCUAUAAAAGUAAACAAUUCUGUAAAGGUUCUCCAGGAAGAUUUGUUUAUGUCUGUUUAGAAAAAAAUGAGAAUUUUUCGAAAUUUUCAGCAUUGAACGAACCAACGAUUGACUAUGGAUUCCAGAGGUUACAAAAAUUAAUACCACGACAUCCUGGCGAUCCAGAAAAAUUGCCAAAAGAAAUUAUUUUAAAAAGAGCUGCCGAUCUUGCUGAGGCACUUUAUAGUAUGCCAAGGGGUAGUAAUGCAAGUAUCACAGGAGCGCCAAGAAGUCCUGUAUCGAGUCAUCCACCAGCGCCACCAACAUCAAGUUCAGCGACAGCAUUUAAUUCAUAUACCGGUCAACUUGCUGUCACCGUCCAGGAAAAUGGCAGCGCCGCCAAAUGGACGGAUGACGGUGGUUCAGUGACGUCAGGUGCCGGAGGCGGUGGAGGUGGCGGCGGUAACGGCGGCACUGUCGACGCCUAUAGGCAAAGUAGUAGCGCGAGUCCACGGGGGGUUGUAACCAGUGGUGGUUAUUGUGGAAGUUCCGCCAGUACGCCGCACAGUCACAGCACCAGCGGAAGCUACUCCGUCGCCAAUCCCUACACCGGAAGUCCGACCCUCUACACUUCGCCGCACGAACAAUAUGGCAUUUUCUAUACGUCCGGGGACGGAAGUGCGUUCGCCCCUGUAGUUCGACCACCGACCACCUCAGUCCCACCGCACUGGUCCACACAGCACCACCUCGCCACAGCCGCCCAGUAACCGCUAACCGUCCACCACCACCAUCACCAACCCCAUGCACUGUGAUUAAAAAAAAAAAAAAAAAAACAAAAAACAAAAAAAUUAUGAGAAUCCGGCUAAGAAAAAGAGUGAUUGGGAGAAGUAGUUGGAUCACCAUUCAAUAUGAAUCCAUUUAUGUUGCCUACCUGUAAUCAAGGAUAUUCAACAACUGGUAGUCCACUUUUAUCCUCGAAUGGUAAAUAGUGUUACGAGAUGUAAGCUACGCCGAGAGUGAAUAUCUUAUAUUUAUUGGCAAGUCAAUAAGAAAAUUGCGGCGGAGCUUUGAUAUUCUGGAAAAAAAAAAUUUCAACUCACCUCAUCUGCUGAUUCAAUUUUCCUGCAAAAAAAUUUAUUUUUUUUCUCAAAAAAAAAAACAUCAUAACAUGAAUUGUAUCAAUAGAAAUAACAAUCACUGAAUUAUAGGAAAUUUUUAAAAUAGUAAUUAGAAAUUAUAUAAUGACGAGUUAAAAAAAUUAAAAGACCAGUGCAAAUUUCAAUUUACAAAAAAAGAAAAAGAAAUCGUCUAAAUUAGUUGACACAGUCGAAUUAUAUAAUAUUGUAUACAUAUCUAAUAAUAAUUUUUAAUAAGAGGAAGCAGGAUUUUCCUCGUGGAAAAUUCAUAUUGGAAUUUUUCACGCAAGAAAAAAAAAACUUACCUAAUAUAAAAAUUAAUUCUUCGCAUCAUUUAUUGUAAAAAAAAUAAUUGAUUUGUGAUAGAAUUAGAAGAAAAAAAGAAAUGACAGUAAAAUAACAGGUAAAAUUAAAAAAAUUUUCAAAAAUCAAUAAUUUUUUUUUUGUUUCUUUUUUUAAUUCAUAUUUUGUGAUAAAAGAAAUUAUUUUGUUCAAUGUCAAUUUUUAUGCCUUGUUUUCAAUUGAUUAAAAAAAAAAACAAAUUAAAGGAAAUUGAUGAUUCGUUAAAGGAAUUGAGUUACUUAAAAAUGAUUCAACAAUUAUUUUUAUUAAAAACACCAUUUAUAGCUGUGAUGCAACGAAUUGUUUCUAUAUUUAACAAAAAUUCUUAAUUUUGUAAAUGAAAAAAAAAAAUAAAUAUCGCCCUUGUAUAAAUGAAAAUUUUCACAUUAGAUUUAUAUUAUAAUAAUUUAUUUAAUUUUGCAAUUAGUUAUUUUAAUAAAAAAAAAUUCCAUUUGACAAUUAAAAUUUUCAAUUGAAAUUUUCUAUUUUGUAAAAAUUUUCAUUUCCGCAUAAGUGCAAAAUAAAAAACUGAAAUUCAAGGCAAAAAAAAAAAAGUAGGAAAAAAAAAUUUUUGUUAAAAAUUUUAUAUAUAAAAAACAAUGUAAGGGGCAUGUUAUCGAAGAAUUCUUUUCCUAGCUAAGGAGAAAAUAUAGCAAGUUUCGCCUCAUCUGCCAGCAAAGAAGUAACAAAACAGUGAAUAUUUUAUAUCAGUCGGACGAUGUUGUACAGUUCGGGAAGUUUAGAGAUAUAGUGAGAGAAAGAGAGCUUGCGAAAUAUAAAGAAAAGAUGGAAGAAGAAAAAGAAAAGAAGAAAAAUUCCAAUAGACGGACAUAUCGCUUAUCAAUGAGUAACAGACUUAAUAGUUUUUAGAAAGACAAAAGUGAAUUUUGUCCACAAAUCCAUAAAAAAUGAAAAAAAAAUUUAAAAAUUGUCUCACAAGCAGACUAACCCAAUAUCGUGAUAGUUUAUUAUUAUUAUUAUUAUUAUUAUUAUUAAACAUAUAUAAACGUCAACUGCGAAAAUAAAAUAAAUAAUUUGUACAUUAAUUGUAAAUAUUGUUGCGAUGUACAAAAUACAAAAAAAUUAAAAAUAUAUAUAAUUAGCUAUUUCCAUGAUACGCGUUUUUGAGGCGUAGUAACGCGUUUGUAGAAUAAACGUUGUUAUAUAUAAGUGUACAUAAUCUUUAGAGAGUCCGUAGUUUAUUCCACAUGGAAAAAGACAUGGUUUAACUUUUGAAAAUGUUUCCAAAAUGUUUAUGUGACUAAAAUACAAUAUCUUUUUUAAAAAAAAAAUUAUUUAUUUAAUUUAAUAUCAAUUAGAUUUUAAGUUAAUUGAAAAAAAAAGAAAUAAUUUCCCACGGAUCAUUGAAAAGUUAAACCCUGCAUUUGUAAUGUAUAAACGUAUAUUAGUUUUGGAUUGUUCGGAAAAAAGAUCGAUACAAAACAAAUCUUAAUAUACAUGACUCAUAUAUAUGAAAGUAUACGAAAAGAACCAAAGUAUCCGAAGACGAGUCCACAAUUUCAUAAAAAAAAAAAAAAACAAGAACUCAAGUACAAUUUUUUGAAAAAUAAUUUUUAUUUAACAAUCAUUUAUAUAUAUUGACGAGAGAAUAUAAAUUAUAUUGUAACUUCGGUCCUAAUAGAAGUUGUUUUUUGCAUAUCAUAAAUAUUAAUUAUAUAAGUGAAGAGAAUACAUAUCUCACUGGAACACUUUUUCUAAUUGAAAUUUACUGUAUUCUAAAAAUUAUAAUAUUGAAAAGAAAAGAAUGUUUCUUCAUUGCUUCGUUAUUGUAUACUUUUUUAUUUAAUCUAUUUAUUAAAUAACAUUCUACACAUAAUGUUACCGCUAUUUCAAUAUACAUUAAAGAAAAACAAAAAAAAAAAAAAAAAAAAACUCACUCAAAUACACAAAACAAGAACAUGUCUAUGUAUAUUACUAUAAAUUGUACUACAUUUUUGGGAAUUAAACAUUUUGGAUUC